ensembl:processed_transcript
AUUUUUAUUUUUCCCCAUUUAUUUAUGCAUUUUAGUUGCAUUAUGGGAUCUUGAUCUUUCUUCCAACAACUUUCAACCUUGGAAAGUUAUAUAAAUUAAUAAAAUGCGUAUUAAUAUACAGCUCAUGUUAGAAUAGUAAUACACAAUUAGUCUUUUUAUUUGUAUUCUCACCGGCCACUUUAUUAGGUACACCUGUCCAACUGCUCGUUAACACACAUUUCUAAUCAGCCAAUCACAGGGCAGCAGCUCACUGCAUUUAGGCUUUUAGACAUGGUCAACAGGAUCUGCUACAGUUCAAAGUGCGCAUCAGAAUGGGAAAAAAAGGGGAUUUAAGUGACUUUGAAUGUGGCAUGGUUGUUAGUGCGGGCUGGUCUGAGUAUUUCAGAAACUGCUGAUCUACAGGGAUUUUCACGCACAACCAUCUCUAGGGUUUGCAGAGAAUGCUCCGACAAAGAGGAAAUAUCCAGUGAGCGGCAGUUCUGUGGGCGCAAAUGCCUUGUUGAUGAGGCCAGAGGUCAGAGGAGAAUGGCCAGACUGGUUCCAGCUGAUAGAAAGGCGACGGUAACUCAAAUAAGCACUCGCUACAACCGAGCUCUGCAGAAGAGCAUCUCUGAACACACAACACGGCCAACCUUGAGGCGGAUGGGCUACAGCAGCAGAAGAGCACACCGGGUGCCGCUCCUGUCAGCUAAGAACAGGAAACUGAGGCUACAAUUCACACAGACUCACCAAAACUGGACAAUAGAAGAUUGGAGAAACGUUGCUGCUCUGAUGAGUCUCCAUUUCUGCUGACACAUUCAGAUGCUCGGCUCACAAUUUGGCCUCAACAACAUGAAAGCAUGGAUCAUCCUGCCUUGUAUCAGCGGUUCAGGCUGGUGGUGGUGGUGUAAUGGUGUGGGGGAGAUUUUCUUUGGGUCCAUUAGUACCAAUUGAGCAUCAACGCCACAGCCUACCUGAGUAUUGCUGCUGACCAUGUCCAUCCCUUUAUGAGCACAGUGUCUUCAUCUUCUGAUGGCUACUUCCAGCAGGAUAACGCAGCAUGUCAUAAAGCUCAAUCAUCUCAGACUUGAACAUGACAAUGAGUUCACUGUACUCAAAUGGCCUCCACAGUCACCAGAGCUCAAUCCAAUAGAGCAGCUUUGGGAUGUGGUGGAACGGGAGAUUGGCAUCAUGGAUGUGCAGCCGACGAAUCUGCAGCAACUGCGUGAUGCUAUCAUGACAAUAUGGAGCAAAAUCUCUGAGGAAUAUUUCCAGUAGCUUGUUGAAUUUAUGCCACCAAGGAUUAAGAACGGUUUCCGCUUUUUGUGUUAUAUGAUAUGAUAUACUGUACAAGAAAUGAGAAUAUCUAGAGAAAUGAGUGUGUAAAAUAACAGAAAAUGUGCUGCAGUUUAUUACAAGGUUUCUGCAGAGUAAUAUACAACACCAACACACUAUAUAGCAACGCAGACUAUUACACAUGUGCAGGAAAGACACUUUUUUAAAACUUUGCAAUGUUAAAAGUUGUUGGAAGAAAGACCAAGCUUCCACAAUGCAAUUCAGAAGCAGAAAUAAAUGAGGAAAAACAUGAAUCUCAGGUACUCUGCAAAAAUUAAUCGCAAUUAAAGCUUGUUUUGCAUUGUGUGUGUGUGUGUGUGUUUGUGUGUGUGUGUGUGUGUGUGUGUGUGUGUGUGUGUG